rnacentral:rRNA from 1 species
GACGAACGCUGGCGGCGUGCUUAACACAUGCAAGUCGAACGGAAAGGCCCUGCUUUUGUGGGGUGCUCGAGUGGCGAACGGGUGAGUAACACGUGAGUAACCUGCCCUUGACUUGGGGAUAACUUCAGGAAACUGGGGCUAAUACCGGAUAGGAGCUCCUGCUGCAUGGUGGGGGUGGGAAAGUUUCGGCGGUGGGGGAUGGACUCGCGGCUUAUCAGCUUGUUGGUGGGGUAGUGGCUUACCAAGGCUUUGACGGGUAGCCGGCCUGAGAGGGUGACCGGCCACAUUGGGACUGAGAUACGGCCCAGACUCCUACGGGAGGCAGCAGUGGGGAAUAUUGCACAAUGGGCGGAAGCCUGAUGCAGCAACGCCGCGUGCGGGAUGACGGCCUUCGGGUUGUAAACCGCUUUCGCCUGUGACGAAGCGUGAGUGACGGUAAUGGGUAAAGAAGCACCGGCUAACUACGUG